rnacentral:lncRNA from 1 species
UCUGUAUAUACAUUGGGGAAGUUUCGAGACACAACACAUUAAUCAGAUUACUUUUUCAUUUCCUCUUUUCUCUCUUCUCUUUCCUAUUCACUGUUCAUCAUCUCCUUCACUUAUUUCCUUCGAUUCAUCAAGUAAUAAUGUUGACAUGGUAUCAGAGCAGGUGUAUUUCGAUUCUACUCAUCACGAGCUUCCGAUCGAUGUUACCCUCACAGAGUUUCAUCCAAGUUUCUGUUGAUUCACGAAGUUAGGGUUUUUGAUUCGGUCAGUUUUCAUCAAAAUCUCAUGUAUUUUUGUUGAUUAGAGUUGUUGCAU